AACAAACGCUGGCGGCGUGCCUAAUACAUGCAAGUCGAACGGGGAAAGCUUUCGGGUGAGUACUAGUGGCGCACGGGUGAGUAACGCGUGGAUAAUCUGCCUUAGAGUGGGGGAUAACUAGUCGAAAGAUUAGCUAAUACCGCAUAAGACCACAAGAACUGCGGUUCAAGGGGUCAAAGGUUUUUCGCUCUAAGAUGAGUCCGCGUAAGAUUAGCUAGUUGGUAGGGUAACGGCCUACCAAGGCGACGAUCUUUAACUGGUCUGAGAGGAUGAUCAGUCACACUGGAACUGGGACACGGGCCAGACUCCUACGGGAGGCAGCAGUAGGGAAUGUUGCACAAUGGAGGAAACUCUGAUGCAGCGACGCCGCGUGAGUGAUGAAGGCCUUCGGGUCGUAAAGCUCUGUCGCAGGGGAAUAACACAAUGAAGGUACCCUGUAAGAAAGGAUCGGCUAACUUCGUGCCAGCAGCCGCCGCGGUAA
rnacentral:rRNA from 1 species